GGCCGGGACCCCUUUGCGCCGCCCAGCCCGCAUAUGGGGCGACUCGAGUUCUGAAUCCGGAGGGAAGGCGCUCGGAGGAGGCUCAGUCAGGCGGUGUAGACGCGGGUCUCUGUGCGCGCCCGCCCGGGGCUCCAAAGGCUCCAAGCCCCUCCGGUCUCUUCCGCUGUGCCUCACGAGUGACUGUCGUGUAAAGUGAGCCCCUGAGACAAGUGUGCCCCGUGCUGAGCUCAGAGCUUGUCGGGACCUGGGACCUCUUCCGGGAGUGAUAGGUUCUGAGAGCCGUUGGCGACCCAGGUUCCGUCUUGUUCUCUUUUGGAAGAGCUCAAGGCCUUAGAAUGAAUGUUCCUACUUGAUUUUGAGUUUUCAAAGUUCACUUUUAAAACGGGUCUCAAACUUGUGGCAGUUCUCUCGCCUCAGCCUCCAGAGUGCUGGGAUUACCGGCGUGCGCCAUCACACCCGACCUGGAGGUCUUUUAACAAGUUGGAUUUGGCUCGGCCCACCAUGCUUGGAAUUACCCAAAGAAACUCAUCAUACAGCAGUGGUCCCUAACCAGACUUAGGUAAAAAGUAGCUUUAAAAAAUAUAUGCAUAGCCUGGUGUGGUGGCUCACGCCUUUAAUCCCAGCUCU